UUAUGCUCUGAUAAAUUUGUUAGUCUCUAAGGUGCCACAAGUACUCCUUUUCUUUUUGCGAAUACAGACUAACAUGGCUGCUACUCUGAAUGCUAAGAAAGAACACUUACAAACCAAAAGCUCAGUUUGGACUUAUUAGUGGGUCUGUCAUACUCCUCAGUAUUGGUAAGUUUACUAGCAAAUAGAGAAAUAAGGCACUAAGUUUAUAGAAAUUGCAGUGUUUCUUCUAAACAAUAGUAAUUCACUUCUGGAGUCGGUCUCUUGGUGUAUCUGGCAGACUGUGUCCAUCCUGCUUGAUAGGCAUUAGGAGCAGAGUAAUUGCUUCAGUAUCUGGCUCUCGAUCCAAAUCCCACUGAAGCCCAUGGAAAGAUUCCCAUUCAGCGGGAGUUAGACCGGCUCUCUGAAAAUUUUCAACAGUUGCAAACAUGUGCACCUGGAAUUAACUGGACAAUUUUUCCCUCUGAGAAACAAUGAAGUUGAGCAUUCUUAAAAUACUAAAUAAAUCUCAUCAGGGUUUUUGUUUGUGGGUUUUGUUUUUUUUCCAUGAAUAGAGUUGAGAAGUUCAUGCCCACAUGUGAAAGAUUACAAUAAGCACAUUUAACAGGAUGGAUGGAAAGAGGAUGUUACUUUUGCUGUCACUGAAAUCAGUAAGUUUUUGAGUGGUAACACAUAUAUUGAGUGUGUUGCUCAGGGUUUAGCUGAUCGCCAUAUUUGGGGUCGGGAAGGAAUUUUCCUCCAGGGCAGAUUGGAGAAGCCCUGGAGGUUUUUCGCCUUCCUGUGUAGCAUGGGGCAUGGGUGACUUGAGG